UACGGUAGGGUCCGAGCGUUGUCCGGAAUUAUUGGGCGUAAAGGGCUCGUAGGCGGUUUGUCGCGUCGGGAGUGAAAACACGGGGCUUAACCCCGUGCCUGCUUCCGAUACGGGCAGACUAGAGGUAUGCAGGGGAGAACGGAAUUCCUGGUGUAGCGGUGAAAUGCGCAGAUAUCAGGAGGAACACCGGUGGCGAAGGCGGGUCUCUGGGCAAUAACUGACGCUGAGGAGCGAAAGCAUGGGGGAGCGAACAGG
rnacentral:rRNA from 1 species